rnacentral:lncRNA from 1 species
GAACACAUCAGUGUCAUCCGGUUCUGUAAAUAGUCCAGGAAUGGAAGCAAGAACUCAUGAAUUUUUUUCCUUUUUUUGUCUGUCUAGAUGGGCCAGUAUCCUCAGAAAUGGAAUCCAGUAGAAACGAUACCAAAGAUAAUCUUGGUAACUCUAAUGUGCCUGAUUCUCCUCACCCCACUGAAAGUGAAGCAGCUGGCCGAGGCUUCAUCCCACCACCAUUUCCCCCAGUCAGAGCCCCAUUGUUUCCAGUGGAUCCAAGGAGCCAGUUCAUGAGAAGGGGCCCCUCUUUUCCCCCACCUCCUCCAGGAAACAUCUAUACAGCUCCUCGAGAUUAUUUUCCACCAAGGGACUUCCCUGGACCACCACUUCCUCCGUUCCCA